rnacentral:rRNA from 1 species
AUUGAACGCUGGCGGCAGGCCUAACACAUGCAAGUCGAGCGAGCGGCGGACGGGUGAGUAAUGACUGGGAAUUGCCCAGUCGAGGGGGAUAACAGUUGGAAACGACUGCUAAUACCGCAUACGACUGGAUUGCCCAGGUGGGUUUAGCUCGUUGGUGAGGUAAUGGCUCACCAAGGCGCUGAUCCCUAGCUGGUCUGAGAGGAUGGUCGUCCACACCGGAAUGGAGGCACGGUCCAGGAUCCUGCGGUAGGCAGUCGUGGAGAAUAUUGAUCAGGGGGGGAAACCCUGAUGAAGGCAUGCCGCGUGGGGGAGGAGGUCCUUCGGUUUUUAAAGCACGUUCAGCGAGGAGGGGUUACUCUCAGAUGAAGCACCUGCUGACUCCGUGCCAGCCGCCGCGGUAAUAC